rnacentral:rRNA from 1 species
CGAACGCUGGCGGCGUGCUUAACACAUGCAAGUCGAACGAGAAAGCUUCUUUCGGGAAGUGAGUAGAGUGGCGCACGGGUGAGUAACGCGUAGGUAAUCUACCCUUAUAUUUGGGAUAACAUUGGGAAACUGGUGCUAAUACCGAAUGGUCUUCAUUGCUUUGGGGCGAUGGAGUAAAGGUGGCCUCUUCAUGAAAGCUACCGUGUAGGGAUGAGCCUGCGUACCAUUAGCUAGUAGGUGGGGUAAUGGCCCACCUAGGCAACGAUGGUUAGCGGGUCUGAGAGGAUGAUCCGCCACACUGGAACUGGAACACGGACCAGACUCCUACGGGAGGCAGCAGUGAGGAAUAUUGCGCAAUGGGGGAAACCCUGACGCAGCGACGCCGCGUGAGUGAGGAAGGUUUUCGGAUCGUAAAGCUCUGUCAGAAGGGAAGAAGUGUUAUAUGGUUAAUACCCAUAUAAUUUGACGGUACCUUCAGAGGAAGCACCGGCUAACUCC